rnacentral:rRNA from 1 species
GACGAACGCUGGCGGCGUGCUUAACACAUGCAAGUCGAACGGACAGACCCGGCUCUUGCGGGGUGCUCGUGUGGCGCACGGGUGAGUAUAACGUGUGUAACCUGUCCUUAUCUUUGUGAUAACUCCUGGGAAAUGGGGCUCUUAUCGGGGAGGAUCUCCUGCUGCAUGUUGUUGGAUGGUGAGUUUCGGUGGUUGGGGAUGGUUUGGCUGUUUAUCAGCUUCUUGGUGGGGUAGGGGCUGACCAGGGCUUCGACGGGUAGCCGGCCUGAGAGGGUGACCGGCGACAAGGGGCCUGAGGUACGGCCCAGAAUCGAACGGUAGGCAGUAGGGGGAAAUCUUGCACAAUAGGGGGAAGCGUGUUGCAGCAACGCCGCGAGCGGGAUGACGGCUUUCGAGUUGUAAACAGCUGUCGCCUGUGACGAAGCGUGAGUGACGGUAAUGGGUCAGGAAGCACCGGCUAACUACGUG